rnacentral:rRNA from 1 species
GAUGAACGCUGGCGGCGUGCCUAAUACAUGCAAGUCGAGCGAAUGGAUUGAGAGCUUGCUCUUAUGAAGUUAGCGGCGGACGGGUGAGUAACACGUGGGUAACCUGCCCAUAAGACUGGGAUAACUCCGGGAAACCGGGGCUAAUACCGGAUAACAUUUUGAACCGCAUGGUUCGAAAUUGAAAGGCGGCUUCGGCUGUCACUUAUGGAUGGACCCGCGUCGCAUUAGCUAGUUGGUGAGGUAACGGCUCACCAAGGCAACGAUGCGUAGCCGACCUGAGAGGGUGAUCGGCCACACUGGGACUGAGACACGGCCCAGACUCCUACGGGAGGCAGCAGUAGGGAAUCUUGCGAAAUGGACGAAAGUCUGACGGAGCAACGCCGCGUGAGUGAUGAAGGCUUUCGGGUCGUAAAACUCUGUUGUUAGGGAAGAACAAGUGCUAGUUGAAUAAGCUGGCACCUUGACGGUACCUAACCAGAAAGCCACGGCUAACUACGUGCCAGCAGCCGCCGUAA